AGAGUUUGAUUAUGGCUCAGAAACUCAAAUGAAUUGACGGGGGCUCAAAGAAUUGACGGGAAACUCAAAUGAAUUGACGGGG
rnacentral:rRNA from 1 species